GGACGAGAAGCUUGCUUCUCUGAUGUUAGCGGCGGACGGGUGAGUAACACGUGGAUAACCUACCUAUAAGACUGGGAUAACUUCGGGAAACCGGAGCUAAUACCGGAUGAUAUUUUGAACCGCAUGGUUCAAAAGUGAAAGACGGUCUUGCUGUCACUUAUAGAUGGAUCCGCGCUGCAUUAGCUAGUUGGUAAGGUAACGGCUUACCAAGGCAACGAUGCAUAGCCGACCUGAGAGGGUGAUCGGCCACACUGGAACUGAGACACGGUCCAGACUCCUACGGGAGGCAGCAGUAGGGAAUCUUCCGCAAUGGGCGAAAGCCUGACGGAGCAACGCCGCGUGAGUGAUGAAGGUCUUCGGAUCGUAAAACUCUGUUAUUAGGGAAGAACAUAUGUGUAAGUAACUGUGCACAUCUUGACGGUACCUAAUCAGAAAGCCACGGCUAACUACGUGCCAGCAGCCGCGGUAAUACGUAGGUGGCAAGCGUUAUCCGGAAUUAUUGGGCGUAAAGCGCGCGUAGGCGGUUUUUAAGUCUGAUGUGAAAGCCCAGGUUCAACCGUGGAGGGUCAUUGGAAACUGGAAAACUUGAGUGCCGAAGAGGACCGUGGACAUUCCAUGUGUACGGUGAAAUGCGCAGAGAUAUGGCGGAACACCAUGGCGA
rnacentral:rRNA from 1 species